UACGUAGGGUCCGAGCGUUUGUCCGGAAUUACUGGGCGUAAAGAGCUCGUAGGUGGUUUGUCGCGUUGUUCGUGAAAACUCACAGCUUAACUGUGGGCGUGCGGGCGAUACGGGCAGACUUGAGUACUGCAGGGGAGACUGGAAUUCCUGGUGUAGCGGUGGAAUGCGCAGAUAUCAGGAGGAACACCGAUGGCGAAGGCAGGUCUCUGGGCAUUAACUGACGCUGGAGGAGCGAAAGCAUGGGGAGCGAACAGG
rnacentral:rRNA from 1 species